CUACACUCUCCGGCUCCAGCGGCGCACCUGGUCCUCAUUCCACUAAUCAAGCUCCUGCAGUAUUUCAACCCCAGUCCUCCUCACAUUCUUCGCCAGAUCGUCAGCUAACCACAUGUGGUACAUGCGUCAAGGCCAACUAUCUACUCCCGUAAGAUUCCUUGCAAUUUCUGUGUCUCCCUGGAUUAACCUGUUUUUCUCUGUGCCCAGGAUCACACUACCUCUGGGAACUCUGCUGAACGCCACACCCCGCUCAGCUCACAUCUUGCCUGGACAAACUCCCCUCCUCUGUGUUCUCCAUUCUGCCCUGUUGGAACCUACCACCCAGCCUUCCGUUGCACUUUUCAGUAAAACCCUUUGUUACCGCUUCGAACUGUUCCGAGUCUGCCUUUGAGUCCUUAAGUUCCAGUAUUUUCUCAUGUGAUAUCAUCCCUGCUGAGUCAGCACACAUGUAUGAUUUAGUCUUCCCUCCUCUUUGUGUCUUUGUUUGGGGAAGUAACCUCUUUAAAUGAAUGUGGCACCUUUUUACCUCAAUGAAAAAUGAAUUCAUUUUAAGUCAGUGAUAAACUAUAUUACCGCGACUCACAGCGCCAUACGAGAUGCCGGUGUUGCUGGGUGGAGUUCACUCACCCAGAGUUGACAUUAUCAGUUAUUUAUUUGUUUUUCACAGAGCGUGUGAAAAGUGUCAAGUGCCUGAGAGUUGGCAGCUCUGGCGCUAACCUAGGUUAAUAGUCUGCCUAACUAUUAGCUCCUCACCUUCGCCUGUCAGACAUACAGGGUGAUUCUCAAGACUUUUUUGGCCACAAAUUUGGCCUCCCUGCAAUGUAAAGCAACUGGCUUUACAUUAGCGGCUCCUGCACAUCUUCAGUGUUUCACAAUAACGGCAGGGGGUGGGUUAUCAGAUCACAAGUAUGAAAUAUGUUUUAAUGAUAACAGAUGUAGUUAUCAUGUAUAUACAUAUAAAUUCUUUUGGUAAUGAUAUAAGACAUUAAGUAAAGUGUACUUCAUUUAAGGGUCCACCCUAGCCCUUUGCAUGGGCCCCCCUUGGGCCUGGUUCAUCUGUACCCUUUGACCCCCCCUGACAGCGGGCCUGCGACUGACAACCUUUUACUGCUAAAAGUGUCACCGUACAGCACCACAGGGGUCCCGCAUUGGUACAUUUGUUUGUCUUUGUCAUUUCUGCCUUUCUCUACUUUACUAUGACAGGUUAAUUUACUAACUUUAGAUUGAAAAAAAUUGCUAAUGAAUAAAGAUGAAGAAGGCUGAAAAGCAGGACACACAUUUGACUGAACAGGCUGUCAGGAGAAAAAGGCAAAAAAAGACAGAUUAAACAAAAACAUAGAAGUGGAGAGAAGACGACAAGGAAAAGUACAGAGUUCAUGUAAACAUGUUUCACAGGAAGACCUUGUAGGGUAAAUGGAGUGGAUGACCCAGCUUUUUCCCUCCUCAUUGGGUGGUUAUCAUCAGUAACCAUAAUAUGGGUGUUUUGACAAUCCAUAAAAUGAAUUAUUCGUCAUUUCCACUUGACUGGCCCUUUCAGGUAGAGAUACCCUGUCUGUGUCGUGCCAUCUUUACCUGAUUUCACCCAAGGCAGGGAGAGAGUGAGAGGAAGGAAACAUCUGAAUAGGAAGCAGUGGGUAACCACUGUACAGCACCCAGGGACCAACUCCAGAUAGAAUGCGGUGCGACCAGGGUUUGAACCUGGAACCUCCUUGCUGUGAGGCCACAGUGCAAUUUCACUGGACCACUGUGCCCCCCCUUCAUACUCUAAAUGCUAAGCUAAAUGGGAAUCUACAGUCCUACUGAACUUUGGACCCUGGUGGACAUGUUACAUGAACUUCAGAUGGUCUACAUCUAAGCAAUAUGCAGACCUUGCUCAACCUUUCACACAUUCACCUAAUUCUUAGACGGGCGUCUUGCAAACCCCCAGGAGUCACAGCUCUACAGACCACAAAGGUGAGGGUUGUUUUACUCGCCCUGCUUGGCUGCUGCCUGUCUGAGGCAUACGUCCUGUUCACUGCUAUCAUAUAUAUUCAGGAUGAGCCUGUUGAGGAAGAUAGCUUCACUCUGCACAGAGAGAUGAUGGCUGUUUUGGAUGAACAGAGAAAUGAGCUGCGACAGACCAAAAAGCAACUAGGUCAAAGGACAGGGUAUCUUCGGGAGGUGGUAGUGGUUGAAAUGUGCCGCAAGUCUUCUUUUUUGUUUAUUUACGAGGCCAGGCUGAGAAUCAGUGAGGUGCAGGGACUAAGAGCAGAGAAAGCAGGUGCAGCAAGUUGUGCGGCAGGUACACAGGUAAGCUGAGGUCCUUUUAAAAAAUACUUCUAAUCAAACUGAAAUCACUUGACAAAAUAAAGAAGCAAGAUGAUAUUUCCAUUUUUGAAAUAUAGCAAGUAAAGUUGACAUUACUCAUUUUUUCCACAAUUGCUGCAACCGUUCUAACUUUAUCAAAUACUUUAUUUAUGCAGUAGUUAUUUUUGGUGGCGUGGACCACCCUGCCUCUCCACGUGCCUACGUGGAGAGCCAUAAGGCGGAGAGAGCAGCUCCCGUUUCACAUGCCUACGUGGAAAAGCCAUACGGCAGAGAGAGAGAGCAGCAGCAAAGAACCCCACCCCGGGUACAGAACAGAGCAGCAUCAUUAAUACAGAAUACAUUGAUUGGACAGGAAUAGACUUACAUGAGGAGCUGUGGUGGCGGAGGGAAAUGAGGGGCUCACAGAGAAAGCAGCAAGAUUAGGCAGGCUAGGGCAGCUGAAAUAAGGCGCCUUGUGUAUGGCUUUGCCAAUGAGUGCUUAGAGGGAAACCAGCUAAGCUGUCAGCUGAUGUAGCCUGACUUGACGUGGAAUACUAUCAGGUGAUACGCUGGGAUUGUGAGCUGAGCUUGACUCCGUUGCCUGCCUGAACUAACGCUAUGCUUGAUUUAAAAAUUCUAACUGCUACCUUUCAAUCUCACAAUGCCUGUGAUUUGGAGGGCCAAAUCAAACGAGUGACAGAGGGAAAGUAAAGGUAAUAGAACAAACAAGUCAAUUAUUAAUGACCAGCAAAGUAGAUUUCCUCCUCAUCUCAGCUCACAUGAUGUCCCCGCAUGAUUUAUCUUUGACUGAAUGGUUGAAGUCAUGCAGUAUGUAUUCCCUCAUUUUUAACAAAUAGAGUUGAAAGCCUCACUGGCAGAACUCGGAAAUAAGCUUGUAGACGUGGGUGGAGAAGUGAAGGUACUGCAUGCUGCUGAUCAACGUAAAUUAACUACUACUAUUUGGAGGGCCAAAACCUCGAAAGUGGAGCAACUACAGAAGGAAAGUAAAGGUUUUACUCAGCCAGACUGGGAGUCACUGAGAGCCUGAGUGAGGAGCUGAAGAUUGAGACUACUGCAGAAAUGAAACGGAGGUGAAAGCUCUCAACACAGAUCAUCAAUGCAGGCCUUUGGUGUUAAAAAUUACAUUUGAUUAUGAAGGAGUAAUUAGGUAAUUAGAGGGCUUAAGUCCAGAGUGGAAGCCAGAGUGGGCAUGGACAAAGACAUGAACACACACCUUGAAGUUACUGAAACAUAACAAAGUUGGAAGCCAAACUGCAAACAAAUCAAACUGUACAAGAGGAACUUAAGAAUAAGAUAAGAGGUGAAAACAUUCAAGACUGAAGGUAAACAAGUUAAUACAUCAAUAUCAUACACAACAUGGGAAGGAUGAAGUUUGACUUAAAGGAUAAACUAUGGAGAUGGGAGGCUCUUUUUUGUUUUUUUAAGUCAAUAGGACAGCUGCAUUCAUACACAGAAAGUUCUGUGGGUUACUGUAGUUUUAGAAAAAAAAACUUUAAGCAUUUUCAAUAGUGUGGUUUUUGACAGAUAACUGUUGACAGAUAAAGUGGCCUUCUCACCAGCACUGGAAGAUAAUCAAAUGCACAUUGGGCCAUUUCACAGAGACAUCACCGACAUUGGUGACAGCUACGAUCCAACAACUGGUAAUGUACUGCAAUACCUAUUUGUGUAAUCACUGAAUCUAUUUACAGCUUUGUUGAUUAAAAAGGAUUUUAUUUCUUUAUUGUACCGUGGACCUGCUCAUACAAUCAUACUGUGGACUUUACACUAUUUUCUUCUUGCUUUGGUGCAUUCCUACCUGGGCUCUUGUGUUAAUGCUUCAUGUCUUUCUUUUCUUCAAAAAUUAAGAUCUUAUUAUAUAAUUAACUAGUGCAAUGCCCGUUCACAGGGGCCGAUGGGACGCCUCCCUGAGCUACUCAGAUAGUACUUGUUCAAAAUGUGCUUGUUCAAAUGUCACAUUGGUUUCACCUACAGAUUUAAUAACACAGCAUUAAUACCACUGAAAACAAGACAAUGACGGAGAUACUGUUAGAUCUUCAGUGCUUCCUUAGAACUUCAUAAAACAUUUACAGCUCAGUUUUAACACAUUAGUUGCUAAUGUAUAUUAAACCUCCAUUUCAACAAUUCACUCCCACAUCAGAGCAUAUAAGCCCUGUCCCUGUGAGCGUACCCCACUCUUGCUGAUGCAGUUUGGAGCCCAAAACCCCUAUAAAUUUACUAGUGCAAUUUGAAUUAAUUACUUCACUCAAAUAACUCUUAUAAAUAGAUUAUUUGUUUCUGUAUUAGUUGUUACUACAAAUUACGGUACAUUACGCUCUUUUCUAGAUUUCAACUGCAGAGGCUGAAAUAUCUCAAAUAAUACAUUACAUACAUACGGUGAGUCCUUGAGUAAUACACCCAAACACAUACUGUUCACUGAUUUCAUUAAAAAGCCAAUAAAUUAUGAUUUUAAAAAGCA